rnacentral:rRNA from 1 species
UACGUAGGGGGCAAGCGUUGUCCGGAUUUAUUGGGCGUAAAGAGCGUGUAGGCGGCCAUACAGGUCCGUUGUGAAAACUGGAGGCUUAACCUCCAGACGUCGAUGGAAACCGUAUGGCUAGAGUCCGGAAGAGGAGAGUGGAAUUCUGGUGUAGCGGUGAAAUGCGCAGAUAUCAGGAAGAACACCCGUGGCGAAGGCGGCUCUCUGGGACGGUACUGACGCUGAGACGCGAAAGCGUGGGGAGCGAACAGG